UUUUAAUUCUCUAAUAAUUAUAUCUUCAUCAUCACUAAUUCCGCCCAUUUUCAAUUCUCAUUUCAUUGGAAAAUCAUAUCCGACCCCACCUUCACUAUUGAUUUUGUUUUUCACCACCACUAUAUCACCUUCAAUUCUUCUUCCUCUUUGUCACCCAACACCAAAUAUCACCACCACCAUUAUCAAUAUCGAUUUUUUCUUCUUCACCACCUUCAAUUACCUCUUUUAAUGUUU
rnacentral:lncRNA from 1 species